GGGGUUGUGGCUCAGUGGUAGAGCGCUUGCCUAGCACAUGCAAGGCCCUGGGUUUGAUCCUCAGCACCACA
rnacentral:tRNA from 1 species